UGCGGGAUCAUCUAAUGGCAGGAUGCGACACUCUGAAUGUCGUCAUCUAGGUUCGAAUCCUAGUCCCGCAG
rnacentral:tRNA from 1 species